GGGGGUGACUGGGUGACAGGCACUGAGGGGGGCACUUGACGGGAUGAGCACUGGGUGUUAUUCUGUAUGUUGGCAAAUUGAACACCAAUAAAAAAUAAAUUUAUUAUUUAAAACAAAAACUACAGCUACUUAUGAUAAAAAUUAAAUAGUAACUCCAGUGAUCCUGAAAAUGAAGAAUUAGAGAAGACUUAAAAAAAUAAAAUAAAAAAGAGGAAGUCCCGCAUUGCUUCAGGUGAUGCACCUCGGCCUGUUCCCGGAACCUCGGGUCCCAGAACUACUCCUUCCUCUCUCAGGUCUGAGGCUGGUGCAGGCCCGGCGGAGGGGACCGGGGCGCUGGCGGGAGCCCGGGAGCCAGGAGCGCAUGCGCCGCGAGUGGGCGGUUCCCUUGUCCCCCGCGGCUCCUUCAGCGCCUGCGCCGCCCGCACCGCAGGCUGCCGUCCUCUGGCGCAGAGUUCAGAUCACUGUUGAGUCCAGGUUCAGCAAAAACAGCCAGGCCAACAAGUUAGAAGCACUCCCAGCUGCUUGAGCUUGCACAUUGAAUUCAGUCACUGGUUAAUGCAUAUCUCAUCCUCAUGGUGAUAGGUGUCUUGGAAAUUAAGAGACUGUUGCCAGAUGCAGUGUUUUCUCCUUCUUCCUUCCCCACCCCCACGGAUCACUUGUGGUGCCAACAAUAUAUCUUAUCAACACUUGUCUCUAAGCUUAAUACACGUCCUGACAGUUACCAUGAAUGCUCCUUGCACAUUCAUCAGUCAGUCCAGUGAGUUAAAAAAAAAAAAAAAAGCUUCCCGAUCCCAGGAAUUCUGACUUUCAAGGUAAGAUUUCGAUAAAAGGAUCUCUAGAAAUAUAAUUUAAGUAACAUGAAACUGCUGAAUAUGUUUUAUUCCAUGAAAUAUGCCGCAGCCACAGUUACUUAAAUGUGCUUUCAUUGGAAAUAUUUUUUAUCUUGAACUUCAGAUCAGGAUAACUUUAGAUCGGGAUUUUUGAUCAGGAAAGACUAGGCAAUCUUAUCCAUCCACAUAGAACGGAAUUCCCUAAAAUUAUUUAAAAGUAACUGCAGUAAUACCAUCAAAAAAAUUCUGAUUUUUUUUAAAGUUAGCUCCAUUUCUAGGAGUGUGAAGAACUUUAGGCCAAAACAUAAAAUCAAUACUUAAAAAAAAAAAAAAAAGGAAGAAAGCAAACAAAUGAAGAGAGAGAGAAAGAGAGAAGAAAAAUCCCCAAACUUCCACAAUUUAAAAAAAGUAUUGACUUGGUCUUCCUUAAGUGCUUUCUUGACCUCAAGUGCAUCCUGUGACUCAUAUUCCAAUUGCUGCUACAGUCUUUCUGGUCCAAAUUGCUGGGAGGAAGGGAAGUACUGCUCUAGACAAAGUGGUUAAAUAACCUAGUGUACAGAACCUUAUAAAAGCUGCACCCUGAGAAAGGUGCAGUGUUUCUCCUUUCUUUGUUCCUAUUUCACUUUUAUGAUCCCUUCUUGGAAGAAAGGUACAUUCUGUCUCUUUUUGAAAAAAAGGAUCUAAGUAACAAUAACAUCACCAGUGUUGAAAAAUGUGUUUUUCCAUAUACUCCCCAUGAGACUGGUUUAUUUUAAAUGCAAUUGUACUGGGUCUUUAUUCAAGAUUAAUACUAUUAAUCUAAUACUUUAGAUUAAUAUCUCUUUGCAAGCAGGUGAGAAUAACUGUUAUGUCCCUUAUUUUGGGAGAUUCAACAUUAGUGGUUUCAGCAAUCAUUUUCUGAGGCCCUUCCAUUAGGUCUAUCAUUAGGAAGAAAGCAGUUUGAGGACAAUCAGAAGUUGGAGCUGCCUGUGGAUAGCAAAAGUACAUCAACUUGAAAAUGGCUGUGAAAUAAAAUGGAGAUUUCUAUGAGAUACA
rnacentral:lncRNA from 1 species